AGUGAACGCUGGCGGUAGGCCUAACACAUGCAAGUCGAACGGCAGCACAGUAAGAGCUUGCUCUUACGGGUGGCGAGUGGCGGACGGGUGAGGAAUACAUCGGAAUCUACUUUGUCGUGGGGGAUAACGUAGGGAAACUUACGCUAAUACCGCAUACGACCUACGGGUGAAAGCAGGGGAUCUUCGGACCUUGCGCGAUUGAAUGAGCCGAUGUCGGAUUAGCUAGUUGGCGGGGUAAAGGCCCACCAAGGCGACGAUCCGUAGCUGGUCUGAGAGGAUGAUCAGCCACACUGGAACUGAGACACGGUCCAGACUCCUACGGGAGGCAGCAGUGGGGAAUCUUGCGCAAUGGGCGCAAGCCUGAUCCAGCCAUACCGCGUGGGUGAAGAAGGCCUUCGGGUUGUAAAACCCUUUUGUUGGGAAAGAAAAGCAGCAGGUUAAUCCCCCGCUGUUCUGACGGUACCCAAAGAAUAAGCACCGGCUAACUUCGUG
rnacentral:rRNA from 1 species